rnacentral:rRNA from 1 species
AGUAACGCGUAGGUAACCUACCUCAUAGCGGGGGAUAACUAUUGGAAACGAUAGCUAAUACCGCAUAAGAGAGACUAACGCAUGUUAGUAAUUUAAAAGGGGCAAUUGCUCCACUAUGAGAUGGACCUGCGUUGUAUUAGCUAGUUGGUGAGGUAAAGGCUCACCAAGGCGACAUACAUAGCCGACCUGAGAGGGUGAUCGGCCACACUGGGACUGAGACACGGCCCAG